rnacentral:ncRNA from 1 species
UGCGAUGAGUCGAAAUAAAUCAGACAAAGCAAUUUGUUCCACGUAGGUGGCUAGUGAUUUUUUCACCGGCACACGUAUUUCUACCGUAUUUGUAGAGUGUGUAAUGGAGGGUGUGUGAACCGCC